ACAAAUCUUUGUAUGGUGGAGCCCGAAAGGGACCUCCCCAUAUAUAUUAACCCCGAGCCUGGCAGCAAUGCCGGCUUUGGUUGGGCAGGCCGCACUAAUCCUGCGGGCUGCUCCGGUCGUGCGCCGGAGGCCUCCGGGUCUCUGUGCCAGUGGCCACAUAGACGCUUGUAUGUUUGACAGAGUCGUUGGUGUAACCACAACAAAAUGA
rnacentral:misc_RNA from 1 species